UAAGAUUAAUCAGGUUUGCCGCUCCGACAUAUCCAAGUCAUUUAUAUAGUCCACAAAAAGUUUAAUCAAAGAUGGGCAGAAAGCAAUUGUUUUGGCACUCCAUUUAUCCACUUGACAACUAAAUUGUUAGACAUAUCAGGAGAUUUUACCUUGUAGCUCUUGCACUCAUGGAUGAAUGGUAGGUAGUGCUUCGUUGUUUCCUGUAAGAUGUGUAAACAUCAUCGUAUUGACUUGCCUCGUUAGGGUCAGCUGUUGCACCAAGCCCCAACCUUCCUGAGCCAGUAGAUCCCGAUUUCCGCUCCAUGCUCCCAUCAGCACAAGCCCCAGUCUCUGGGUCAACCUGUAAGUUC
rnacentral:misc_RNA from 1 species